rnacentral:rRNA from 1 species
CUACGGGGGGCAGCAGUGGGGAAUAUUGCACAAUGGGCGCAAGCCUGAUGCAGCCAUGCCGCGUGUAUGAAGAAGGCCUUCGGGUUGUAAAGUACUUUCAGCGGGGAGGAAGGGAGUAAAGUUAAUACCUUUGCUCAUUGACGUUACCCGCAGAAGAAGCACCGGCUAACUCCGUGCCAGCAGCCGCGGUAAUACGGAGGGUGCAAGCGUUAAUCGGAAUUACUGGGCGUAAAGCGCACGCAGGCGGUUUGUUAAGUCAGAUGUGAAAUCCCCGGGCUCAACCUGGGAACUGCAUCUGAUACUGGCAAGCUUGAGUCUCGUAGAGGGGGGUAGAAUUCCAGGUGUAGCGGUGAAAUGCGUAGAGAUCUGGAGGAAUACCGGUGGCGAAGGCGGCCCCCUGGACGAAGACUGACGCUCAGGUGCGAAAGCGUGGGGAGCAAACAGGAUUAAUACCUGGUAGUC